rnacentral:rRNA from 1 species
UAGGGAAUCUUCCGCAAUGGGCGAAAGCUUGACGGAGCAACGCCGCGUGAGUGAUGAAGGUCUUCGGAUCGUAAAACUCUGUUAUUAGGGAAGAACAAAUGUGUAAGUAACUAUGCACGUCUUGACGGUACCUAAUCAGAAAGCCACGGCUAACUACGUGCCAGCAGCCGCGGUAAUACGUAGGUGGCAAGCGUUAUCCGGAAUUAUUGGGCGUAAAGCGCGAGUAGGCGGUUUUUUAAGUCUGAUGUGAAAGCCCACGGCUCAACCGUGGAGGGUCAUUGGAAACUGGAAAACUUGAGUGCAGAAGAGGAAAGUGGAAUUCCAUGUGUAGCGGUGAAAUGCGCAGAGAUAUGGAGGAACACCAGUGGCGAAGGCGACUUUCUGGUCUGUAACUGACGCUGAUGUGCGAAAGCGUGGGGAUCAAACAGG